rnacentral:rRNA from 1 species
CAUGUAGGUAUCUGCCCUUUGGCCUGGAAUAACACGAGGAAACUUGUGCUAAUACCGGAUAAGUCUUUACGGAGAAAGCUUUAUGCACCAUUGGAUGAGCCUGCACUUGAUUAGUUUGUUGGUGGGGUAAAGGCUUACCAAGGCGACGAUCAGUAGCUGGUCUGAGAGGAUGAUCAGCCACAUUGGGACUGAGACACGGCCCAAACUCCUACGGGAGGCAGCAGUGGGGAAUAUUGGACAAUGGGCGCAAGCCUGAUCCAGCAAUGCCGCGUGUGUGAAGAAGGUCUUCGGAUUGUAAAG